rnacentral:rRNA from 1 species
AGUGAACGCUGGCGGUAGGCCUAACACAUGCAAGUCGAACGGCAGCACAGUAAGAGCUUGCUCUUACGGGUGGCGAGUGGCGGACGGGUGAGGAAUACAUCGGAAUCUACUUUUUCGUGGGGGAUAACGUAGGGAAACUUACGCUAAUACCGCAUACGACCUACGGGUGAAAGCAGGGGAUCUUCGGACCUUGCGCGAUUGAAUGAGCCGAUGCCGGAUUAGCUAGUUGGCGGGGUAAAGGCCCACCAAGGCGACGAUCCGUAGCUGGUCUGAGAGGAUGAUCAGCCACACUGGAACUGAGACACGGUCCAGGCUCCUACGGGAGGCAGCAGUGGGGAAUAUUGGACAAUGGGCGCAAGCCUGAUCCAGCCAUACCGCGUGGGUGAAGAAGGCCUUCGGGUUGUAAAGCCCUUUUGUUGGGAAAGAAAAGCAGCAGGUUAAUACCCCGCUGUUCUGACGGUACCCAAAGAAUAAGCACCGGCUAACUUCGUG